GAUGAACGCUGGCGGCGUGCCUAAUACAUGCAAGUCGAGCGAACAGACGAGGAGCUUGCUCCUCUGACGUUAGCGGCGGACGGGUGAGUAACACGUGGAUAACCUACCUAUAAGACUGGGAUAACUUCGGGAAACCGGAGCUAAUACCGGAUAAUAUAUUGAACCGCAUGGUUCAAUAGUGAAAGACGGUUUUGCUGUCACUUAUAGAUGGAUCCGCGCCGCAUUAGCUAGUUGGUAAGGUAACGGCUUACCAAGGCAACGAUGCGUAGCCGACCUGAGAGGGUGAUCGGCCACACUGGAACUGAGACACGGUCCAGACUCCGACGGGAGGCAGCAGUAGGGAAUCUUCCGCAAUGUGCGAAAGCCUGACGGAGCAACGCUGCGUGAGUGAUGAAGGUCUUCGGAUCGUAAAACUCUGUUAUUAGGGAAGAACAAAUGUGUAAGUAACUAUGCACGUCUUGACGGUACCUAAGCAGAAAGCCACGGCUAACUACGG
rnacentral:rRNA from 1 species